CUUUUUAAGAUUGGCACUCGAACAACUGUGAGAUUAUCAAAUGCUAACCCAUAUAUAUAAAAACAUUAGUUUCGAAAAACUUUUGAAUUGACUAAUAUGUCAUUCAUAGUUGAUUAUAUUACUAAAUGUAGAAGCCCAAUUUCACCCGGGCCCAUUACAAACAAAUAAAAUACAUACACCCAAACCUCAACCCACCUAAACACUAACCCAAAACCCUAAUGGCCUAACAAGCCCAAAACCUAAACUAUUUUCAGCCAAAAAAAAAAGAAAGAAACAAAAAAAAACCUAGCCGCUUUCCCUAGCCUAGCGCCGCAACCACCCUUGGUCUUCUGCUCACCUGCUCUGCCAGCAACCACCGCCAACUGCCACUGUCAUCUCCACCCACGUGCCC
rnacentral:lncRNA from 1 species